rnacentral:rRNA from 1 species
GACGAACCGUGCGAACGUUAUUCGGAAUCAUUGGGCUUAAAGCGCGUGUAGGCGGAUUCGUGCGUCUGUCGUUGAAAUCCCCCGGCUCAACCGGGGAAGUGGCGCGGAUACGACGAGUCUGGAGGGGCAUAGGGGGACCUGGAACUUCCGAUGGAGCGGUGAAAUGCGUUGAGAUCGGAAGGAACGCCCGUGGCGAAAGCGAGGUCCUGGAUGCCUACUGACGCUGAGACGCGAAAGCCAGGGGAGCGAACAGG